rnacentral:rRNA from 1 species
GACGAACGCUGGCGGCGUGCUUAACACAUGCAAGUCGAACGGAAAGGCCCUGCUUUUGUGGGGUGCUCGAGUGGCGAACGGGUGAGUAACACGUGAGUAACCUGCCCUUGACUUUGGGAUAACUUCAGGAAACUGGGGCUAAUACCGGAUAGGAGCUCCUGCUGCAUGGUGGGGGUUGGAAAGUUUCGGCGGUUGGGGAUGGACUCGCGGCUUAUCAGCUUGUUGGUGGGGUAGUGGCUUACCAAGGCUUUGACGGGUAGCCGGCCUGAGAGGGUGACCGGCCACAUUGGGACUGAGAUACGGCCCAGACUCCUACGGGAGGCAGCAGUGGGGAAUAGUGCACAAUGGGCGGAAGCCGGAUGCAGCAACGCCGCGUGCGGGAUGACGGCCUUCGGGUUGUAAACCGCUUUCGCCUGUGACGAAGCGUGAGUGACGGUAAUGGGUAAAGAAGCACCGGCUAACUACGU